rnacentral:rRNA from 1 species
ACGGGGGAACUCAAAUUCCACUCUUACCGGGGUGGCUUUUCUGAUAGUGUAAAUAGCCUCAAGAAUAAGAGCUGGGCAAGACCGGUGCCAGCAGCCGCGGUAA